UUAAUAUUCCAACUUAAACAACUUCAAAUUUUAAUCGAUGUAAAAUAUGCAAACCACUGGAAUAAACAUUUUGGUUUGGGGUGACCUCGGAGCAUAAAAAAAACCUCCGAAGGACUAACAUUAAGACCAACUAGUCCAAAUUAUAAAUGUCCAAAUAUUGACCCAGAAAUAAUUCUGAUCAAUGAACCAAGUUACCCUAGAGAUAACAGCGCAAUCUUGUUAAAGAGUUCAUAUCGACAAUAAGGUUUACGACCUCGAUGUUGGAUCAGGACAUCCCAAUGGUGCAGCAGCUAUUAAAGGUUCGUUUGUUCAACGAUUAAAGUCCUACGUGAUCUGAGUUCAGACCGGAGCAAUCCAGGUCGGUUUCUAUCUAUUUACCUAUUUCUCCUAGUACGAAAGGACCAGAGAAAUGAGGCCAACUUUACAAAAGCGCCUUAAUACUUAAUAAAUGAUAUUAUAUCAACUUACAAAGUAACUUAACUCACUCAAUUACAUCCCGACAUUAGGGAUUGUUAAGAUGGCAGAGCCAG
rfam:Dipodomys ordii ctg_broad_rename0037315, whole genome shotgun sequence.